rnacentral:rRNA from 1 species
GUGGGGAAUAUUGGACAAUGGGCGAAAGCCUGAUCCAGCAAUGCCGCGUGAGUGAUGAAGGCCCUAGGGUUGUAAAGCUCUUUUACCCGGGAUGAUAAUGACAGUACCGGGAGAAUAAGCUCCGGCUAACUCCGUGCCAGCAGCCGCGGUAAUACGGAGGGAGCUAGCGUUGUUCGGAAUUACUGGGCGUAAAGCGCGCGUAGGCGGUUUUCCAAGUCAGGGGUGAAAGCCCGGGGCUCAACCCCGGAAUAGCCCUUGAAACUGGAAGACUAGAAUCUUGGAGAGGUCAGUGGAAUUCCGAGUGUAGAGGUGAAAUUCGUAGAUAUUCGGAAGAACACCAGUGGCGAAGGCGACUGACUGGACAAGUAUUGACGCUGAGGUGCGAAAGCGUGGGGAGCAAACAGGAUUAGAAACCCCAGUAGUCC